rnacentral:rRNA from 1 species
GAAAUCGGGCAGGCUUACACAUGCAGUCGAGGGGUAACAUUGUGCUUGCACAGAUGACGACCGGCGCACGGGUGCGUAACGCGUAUAGAACCUACCUUUUACAGAGGAAUAGCCUUUAGAAAUGAAGAUUAAUGCCUCAUAGUAUUGAGUAAUCGCAUGAUUAUUUAAUUAAAGAUUUAUCGGUAAAAGAUGGCUAUGCGUCCUAUUAGUUAGUUGGUAAGGUAACGGCUUACCAAGACAUCGAUAGGUAGGGGUCCUGAGAGGGAGAUCCCCCACACUGGUACUGAGACACGGACCAGACUCCUACGGGAGGCAGCAGUGAGGAAUAUUGGACAAUGGAGGAGACUCUGAUCCAGCCAUGCCGCGUGUAGGAAGAAUGCCCUAUGGGUUGUAAACCACUUUUAUACAGGAAGAAACACUGGUAUGUAUACCAGCUUGACGGUACUGUAAGAAUAAGGACCGGCUAACUCCGUGCCAGCAGCCGCGGUAAC